GUCUAGGUUGCUUCACUCCCCGCCGCCGGCCUCUCGCGUCGCGCCUCUCCAACCCAUCCCGCCAGCCACGCUCCUCGCCGCCGACCCGUUCCGCGCUACCUCCGCCGACCACGGGCCUCCCCAAUUUCCUCGCACCGACGACGCCUCCGCCGUCGAGCUCUUCUUCUCCGGCCGCGUACCCAGCUCUCCCGUGGCAGGGCCCGUGCAAUGCAGCCUGUCGGGGACAUGGAUCGGAUCGUGGUCAAUCGUGCUAGAAUUGACCACCAGACGCACCUACACUUGAGUACGUCUGUGGUGCCGAUCCUAAUCUAUUAUACCAGACAGCCCAAAUCGGGUGAACCAAAAGAUUUGAGUCAACCAGCGGGUCUUUUUCCUGGCAUUGUUACUGUUUCUGCUAGAAACUUUUGUCAUAUAAUAGCAGCUGCAAGGUCACUCUUUCCAAGAACUCCAGAUCUAUUCAGAUUUGAAAUUCUCUUCCCCAAUGGAACAACCGUAGACACCAGGAACAUUGUUGUAGAACGAGGAGAAACAUUGGCCGCUUUCUUUGUUCUUGGUCCAAUUGGAGAUAUGAAGUGCGGUUUGUUGAUCAACCUGUUUCACGAAAUCAUAGCAUCAAGAUGUUUGGAUAUUAUCUUAAUCCAUUUCCACCAAGGCUACCCAUAAGUGAAUUAUGUGAUGGAUUUGCCAGCCAUCCAGGUGAUCGAUUUUUUCGACACGACUGCACACCAUCACAUAUUUCUGCUCGUGGGUCAGCUGUUUUCAACGACCAAGAAAGAUUGGUUGGCAUAUCAUAUGAGCGUCAUGGUUUAACAAAGGCCCUGGAUGUCGAGGGCAUAAGAUAUGAACUUUUACAGAUUUACGGAGGAAUGAAUGAGAUGUCCAUUUUGCAGAUUGUAGAACAUAUAAGAGCUCUAGGUGAAGUAAGAGCUGCGAAUCUUGCAGGCCCUUCUUGAUGGAAUGGGCAUGCCUGAUGCAUGUCGUAGCUAGACCUCUAGAUGGGAUCAAGCAGGUGCGAUUGGAAGCCAUGCACACUUGCUUGAGUUGCUUCCGCAGGAGCCAGAAUGAUCAUUUGCAAAGCAACAUCGUCCAGAGAAGUGCAGGGUUUUUUUCUUCUAUUAGGCAUAAUAAUGGAUCCCAUGUACUGAUCUAGAGUGUAUGUACUAGUUAACGCUUGCGUUAAACAAAUCCAUCACAUGGUCAUGUAUUUAAUUUUCGGGUGUGGUUUGUAUCCUGCCAGAUUUCUGUGACGGUAGAUGAGCGGUGACAUUGCGGUAGAUGAGUAUGUGUAUUCAUUUAUACUGUGUUCGUAUGAACAGAAAUAGGGAUAGGUUGUGGCGGUGCGCUGCAUGGCGUUGUUGCCAGCUGAGACAAA